rnacentral:rRNA from 1 species
UACGAAGGGGGCUAGCGUUGUUCGGAAUUACUGGGCGUAAAGCGCACGUAGGCGGAUAUUUAAGUCAGGGGUGAAAUCCCAGAGCUCAACUCUGGAACUGCCUUUGAUACUGGGUAUCUUGAGUAUGGAAGAGGUAAGUGGAAUUCCGAGUGUAGAGGUGAAAUUCGUAGAUAUUCGGAGGAACACCAGUGGCGAAGGCGGCUUACUGGUCCAUUACUGACGCUGAGGUGCGAAAGCGUGGGGAGCAAACAGGAUUAGAUACCCCCGUA